UGGGGAAUUUUGGACAAUGGGGGCAACCCUGAUCCAGCAAUGCCGCGUGUGUGAAGAAGGCCUUCGGGUUGUAAAGCACUUUUGUCCGGAAAGAAAACUUCGGGGCUAAUACCCCUGGAGGAUGACGGUACCGGAAGAAUAAGCACCGGCUAACUACGUGCCAGCAGCCGCGGUAAUACGUAGGGUGCGAGCGUUAAUCGGAAUUACUGGGCGUAAAGCGUGCGCAGGCGGUGCUGUAAGACCGAUGUGAAAUCCCCGGGCUUAACCUGGGAACUGCAUUGGUGACUGCAGCGCUGGAGUAUGGCAGAGGGGGGUGGAAUUCCACGUGUAGCAGUGAAAUGCGUAGAGAUGUGGAGGAACACCGAUGGCGAAGGCAGCCCCCUUGGCCAAUACUGACGCUCAUGCACGAAAGCGUGGGGAGCAAACAGG
rnacentral:rRNA from 1 species